rnacentral:rRNA from 1 species
GGGGGACAACGUUUCGAAAGGAACGCUAAUACCGCAUACGUCCUACGGGAGAAAGCAGGGGACCUUCGGGCCUUGCGCUAUCAGAUGAGCCUAGGUCGGAUUAGCUAGUUGGUGAGGUAAUGGCUCACCAAGGCGACGAUCCGUAACUGGUCUGAGAGGAUGAUCAGUCACACUGGAACUGAGACACGGUCCAGACUCCUACGGGAGGCAGCAGUGGGGAAUAUUG